CCUUGGGAUAAUGUGGAUGUGGGAGAUGAGGUGGAGUCCUUCUCUUGGAAGGGACUCCACACCAAAUAAUUUUGGGAUUCCUCCGUUAUUAUGGGCAUUGAAGUGGAAGAGUCCACUUCACUUGGGACUCUUAAUUCUCUUUUAUUUCUAUGCAUUUGCUUUCCUCCACCGGCCAUAUGAUGGCUUUUGGAAAAUUGUAGGCACAGAAGUGGAGGAGUCCUUCUGCUUGAAGGCUCUUCCACACCCAAAACUUCUAUAUAAAGAAUUUUAUCUUUAUGGGAAGUAAUGGGACGUC
rnacentral:lncRNA from 1 species